AUUGAACGCUGGCGGCAGGCCUAACACAUGCAAGUCGAGCGGAUGACGGGAGCUUGCUCCUUGAUUCAGCGGCGGACGGGUGAGUAAUGCCUAGGAAUCUGCCUGGUAGUGGGGGACAACGUUUCGAAAGGAACGCUAAUACCGCAUACGUCCUACGGGAGAAAGCAGGGGACCUUCGGGCCUUGCGCUAUCAGAUGAGCCUAGGUCGGAUUAGCUAGUAGGUGAGGUAAUGGCUCACCUAGGCGACGAUCCGUAACUGGUCUGAGAGGAUGAUCAGUCACACUGGAACUGAGACACGGUCCAGACUCCUACGGGAGGCAGCAGUGGGGAAUAUUGGACAAUGGGCGAAAGCCUGAUCCGGCCAUGCCGCGUGUGUGAAGAAGGUCUUCGGAUUGUAAAGCACUUUAAGUUGGGAGGAAGGGCAGUGAGUUAAUACCUUGCUGUUUUGACGUUACCGACAGAAUAAGCACCGGCUAACUCUGUGCCAGCAGCCGCCGUAAAAC
rnacentral:rRNA from 1 species